GGAUGUGAGGGCGAUCUGGCUGCGACAUCUGUCACCCCAUUGAUCGCCAGGGUUGAUUCGGCUGAUCUGGCUGGCUAGGCGGGUGUCCCCUUCCUCCCUCACUGCUCCAUGUGCGUCCCUCCCGAAGCUGCGCGCGGUAGAAGAGGACGACCAUCCCCGAUAGAGGAGGACCGUUCUUCAGUCAAGAGUAUACGAGUAGCUGCGCUCCCCUGCUAGAACCUCCAAACAAGCUCUCAAGAAGUGUUUACUUAUGAAGAAAAAACUUAAUUAAAAUUCCCAUAAGAACUCUGAAAUGCAAUGUUC
rnacentral:snRNA from 1 species